rnacentral:rRNA from 1 species
AUGGUUCGAAAAAACUUUAAUCCAAUUUGGUGUAAGACUUCGAAUUUAUCUUGUCCAGCGAAGGUGAAUUUUUUUAUUUGGCGGACGCUACAUGGUACUCUUCCAUGUCGUGUUACGCUUGCUAAUAGACACAUGAAAGUUUCAACUUUAUGCCCUUUUUGUGCUUCUGGGUUAGAAGACACAAAGCAUCUAUUGUUUCAGUGCCAAAAGGUAAAAGAGGUCCGGAGAAGGCUUGGCUUAGAUGAGAUCACUUCUCAAGCUUGUGAAGUUGAUCGUGCUAGAGAGGCGGUCCUCGGUUUUUUGUUGCACAUGCCUGACCAAUAUUUAUCUAUUAUGGGGUUCCUGAAUAUUCGGGGGAUGAUUGCCAUAAUGUCUUGGUAUUUGUGGUGGGAAAGA